AACGAACGCUGGCGGCAGGCCUAACACAUGCAAGUCGAGCGAGAUCUUCGGGUCUAGCGGCGGACGGGUGAGUAACGCGUGGGAAUAUGCCCUUCUCUGCGGAAUAGCCUCGGGAAACUGAGCGUAAUACCGCAUACGCCCUUUGGGGGAAAGAUUUAUCGGAGAAGGAUUAGCCCGCGUUGGAUUAGGUAGUUGGUGGGGUAACGGCCUACCAAGCCGACGAUCCAUAGCUGGUUUGAGAGGAUGAUCAGCCACACUGGGACUGAGACACGGCCCAGACUCCUACGGGAGGCAGCAGUGGGGAAUCUUAGACAAUGGGGGCAACCCUGAUCUAGCCAUGCCGCGGGAGUGAUGAAGGCCUUAGGGUUGUAAAGCUCUUUCAGCUGGGAAGAUAAUGACGGUACCAGCAGAAGAAGCCCCGGCUAACUCCGUG
rnacentral:rRNA from 1 species